rnacentral:rRNA from 1 species
GACGGACGCUGGCGGCGUGCUUAACACAUGCAAGUCGAACGGAAAGGCCCCAACUUGCUGGCGUUCUCGAGUGGCGAACGGGUGAGUAACACGUGGGUGAACUGCCCUGCACUCUGGGAUAAGCCUGCGAAACUGCGUCUAAUACCGGAUAUGACCGUGCGUUAGGCUGUGCGCUGGAAAGUUUUUCGGUGCUGGAUGAGCCUGCGGCCUAUCAGCUUGUUGGUGGGGUAAGGGCCUACGAAGGCGGCGACGGAUAGCCGGCCUGGGAGGGGGGACGGGCACAUGGGGACUGAGGGAGGGCCCAGACUCCAACGGGAGGCAGCAGGCGAGAAUAUGGCGCAAUGGGCGCAAGCGAGAGGCGGAGGCGCCGCGUGGGUAAUGACGGCCUUUGGGUUGUAAACCACUGUGGGCGGGGACGAAGCUUUUGUGACGGUACCUGCAUAAAAAGCACCGGCUAACUACGUG